rnacentral:rRNA from 1 species
UACGUAGGGCGCAAGCGUUAUCCGGAAUUAUUGGGCGUAAAGAGCUCAUAGGCGGUUUGUCGCGUCUGCCGUGAAAGUCCGGGGCUCAACUCCGGAUCUGCGGUGGGUACGGGCAGACUAGAGUGAUGUAGGGGAGACUGGAAUUCCUGGUGUAGCGGUGAAAUGCGCAGAUAUCAGGAGGAACACCGAUGGCGAAGGCAGGUCUCUGGGCAUUAACUGACGCUGAGGAGCGAAAGCAUGGGGAGCGAACAGG